rnacentral:misc_RNA from 1 species
GAUGAAGAACGUAGCGAAAUGCGAUACGUAGUGUGAAUUGCAGAAUUCAGUGAAUCAUCGAAUCUUUGAACGCACAUUGCGCCCUUUGGUAUUCCAAAGGACAUGCCUGUUCGAGCGUCAUUUGUACCCUCAAGCUUUGCUUGGUGUUGGGCGUUUUUGUCUUUGGCCCGCCAAAGACUCGCCUUAAAAUGAUUGGCAGCCGGCCUACUGGUUUCGCAGCGCAGCACAUUUUUGCGCUUGCAAUCAGCAAAAGAGGACGGCAAUCCAUCAAGACUCCUUCUCACGUUUGACCUCGGAUCAGGUAGGGAUACCCGCUGAACUUAAGCAUAUCAAUAAGCGGAGGA